GGGGGCGUAGUUCAGCUGGUUAGAACGUCGGCCUGUCACGCCGAAGGUCGCGAGUUCGAGUCUCGUCGUCCCCGCCA
rnacentral:tRNA from 2 species